rnacentral:rRNA from 1 species
CAGGGCACCUGGCGUAUGGCUAAACAUGCGAGUCGAACGGCAGCACAGUAAGAGCUUGCUCUUACGGGUGGCGAGUGGCGGACGGGUGAGGAAUGCAUCGGAAUCUACUCUGUCGUGGGGGAUAACGUAGGGAAACUUACGCUAAUACCGCAUACGACCUACGGGUGAAAGCAGGGGAUCUUCGGACCUUGCGCGAUUGAAUGAGCCGAUGCCCGAUUAGCUAGUUGGCGGGGUAAGAGCCCACCAAGGCGACGAUCGGUAGCUGGUCUGAGAGGAUGAUCAGCCACACUGGAACUGAGACACGGUCCAGACUCAUACGGGAGGCAGCAGUGGGGAAUAUUGGACAAUGGGCGCAAGCCUGAUCCAGCCAUACCGCGUGGGUGAAGAAGGCCUUCGGGUUGUAAAGCCCUUUUGUUGGGAAAGAAAAGCAUUCGGUUAAUACCCGAUUGUUCUGACGGUACCCAAAGAAUAAGCACCGGCUAACUUCGUGCCAGCAGCCGCGGUAAUACGAAGGGUGCAAGCGUUACUCGGAAUUACUGGGCGUAAAGCGUGCGUAGGUGGUUGUUUAAGUCUGUCGUGAAAGCCCUGGGCUCAACCUGGGAAUUGCGAUGGAAACUGGGCGACUAGAGUGUGGCAGAGGGUAGUGGAAUUCCUGGUGUAGCAGUGAAAUGCGUAGAGAUCAGGAGGAACAUCCGUGGCGAAGGCGACUGCCUGGGCCAACACUGACACUGAGGCACGAAAGCGUGGGGAGCAAACAGGAUUAGAUACCCUGGUAGUCCACGCCCCUAAACGAUGCGAACUGGAUGUUGGGUGCAAUUUUGGCACGCAGUAUCGAAGCUAACGCGUUAAAGUUCGCCGCCUGGGGAGUACGGUCCGCAAGACUGAAACUCAAAGGAAUUGACGGGGGCCCCGCACAAGCGGUGGAAUAUGUGGUUUAAUUCGA